CAGGAGCUGCUAGAGAAGAUUCCAUUGAGUCAAAGCUUUCUGAGUUGUCUGUGGAAGAAGGAACGAGUGUCACUCUCUCCUGCUCAUACACCACCAGCUAUACAACGACUUAUUAUUUGUAUUGGUACCGUCAUUAUCCUAACAAAGCUCCAGAUUACAUUCUGCAUAAAGCUAACCAGGGAACAUUUGUUAAUACUGCUCCUUUUGCUAAGGAGAGAUUCAAUUCUCAGGUGGAUGCAGAGUCUACAAAUCUGACCAUCAGUGAUUUCAAGAUAGAGGAUUCUACCAUGUAUCUAUGUGGAC